UUUAUGCUACAGCUGCAGAGCAAAGGAAAAUGGCAUCACAGAAGAGCAACUAGCACCUUGGAGCCAGCUGUUUAUGCUAUUUUGUCUUCUUCUCUUUAACCCUCUGAAUCCUGAAUAGGAGUCAAGAGUUUUCUUAAAGAUGAUACUCACUGUGCAGUUCAGACUGGCCUUGAACUCACUAUGUAGCCCAGAGUGGUUGGCCUUGAACUCUCAGCAAUCCUUCUCCCUCAGCCUCCUGGGUGCUGGAAUUAUAGGCAAGCACCACUAUGCUGGAUUGAUUGAGAACCAGUUCAAAUUCUAUAAGAACUGAAGACAGCACUCUCAGUGGGAAUAAAGCUUAGAGUCACGUUGCCUUCCUGAAAAGUGCAAGUUGUGUUUACUUUCUGUUUAGUUUUUACUUUUAUCUCCGACUGGUCAUGUGUGCAGAAAUACCAUCAGUUUUAGAGAAGCUCUUCACAUGUCAUUUAUUGCUUUUAUUUGUUUACACAGACCCAAAGAAGAUACUAAGAUAAAGCAAAAAUAAUGAGUGAGGAAGAUAUAUUUCAUCUUAGAAGAUGUUUCUCAAUAUUGGAAGCAGAGGUAAAGACAAAGGUCAUCAAGUUGUAUAUAUGCGACACUGGAAGCUUUUUGUAUUUCAACCAUAUCUCAUUAAACUGGCUUAGGAAAAGGGUAGAGUCUACAUUGAAUUGGAAAAGAGGAAGAAGCAAAGGAUAUAAACCAUUAGACAAUAUUGCACCACAUGGCCAUCUCAUGAUUCACAAGACAGAGAACACAGAAAGAGUAACAGGCAAAUGUGCAUAGUGCUUCCAUCCUUGAAGUGUAGUGAUGCUAUUCUAGUGAUGGUGUUUCGUGUUUCUUACCUCCUUUCUCCAGACUGGUUGGCCAGCCUUGAAAAUGUGUGGUGCUGCACAGCUACUGGAGUCUCCAUGUUGGCCCCAGAAGAAAUCACAAGUGAAGUUACUGUUCAAGGAGCAAAUGAAAGAUGGCAUCUGUAGCACGUGUUCCAGUGGAGUGAGGAUGUCUGCUGGGACAGUCUGUGGUCCAGAGUUGGAGAGGAUGAGCUUGAUGAGAUCUGAUUCUCUGAUCCUAUGAUAGUCUCCUUGUUUCUUCUCUCCUCAAGUCUCCUUCAGUUUUGUUUAUCCUUCUAUUUCUUCUUUCUUCAUCUAAGAAAGUUGUUAUAGAUCAAACCCUAAGGCCCAAGUGACAUCUUUAUAAAUUCAUAGAUGGUUAAUUUUCCCCACUACUUUGGAUGUGGCUAUUUUAAAAUAACACACACUGCCUAUUUACAUCCCUAAAACUCAGAUAAUUAAGAAGUAUGUUGUUAGAAGAAAGAUCAUUUAUAGCAAGCAAAACAGAGAAAUGAAAUUUAAUUUUUCUGAGUGAAGUUCCUGACAACUCCUGAACACCAUGUGAAGAAAUAGAAAACCUCUCAGUGUCUCUCCUAGACAGGCCUUUGUGCAUAAACUACAUGAUAAUAAAAUAAUAUUUGUGACUCAGAUUUUUUUCUUUUAAGUAUCAAGCUGUCUGGAGAAACAGAAAUAAAACGAGUUGAUGUCUACAGUAUAACUAUUAAGGGAGGCAGUUUGCACCACUGUUAUUUGGAUGUAAUUGGUACUGAGCAUCACAAUGCACUUGUAAUUGGGUCUGUACUUGUUCACUUCAAGAGUUCCAUGUUAUUUCUACUUGAACCCAUUUUUUUGAUACCAUUCAGCUCAGCAGUGCCAGCUAACUCUUGUUAUGCAGUUGAAAAACUGUGGCCAUUAAAAAUAGGAUACGGUGUGAUUUUGUUUUGCAGCACCGCAUGGAAAAUCAGCUGCUGUUCAUAACAGCUCUGUGGUUGGUUGAUUUAAAGCAGGGGGGUGACUUAGAAUUGACAAGCAGACAGUUUGUGAAAAGGGAUAUUGUAUCUUUAAGGCUUUCUGACUGAUUGUGUUUAACUGUGCCACGCAGCAGGCAGUAAUUAGGCUGUACCUUUGUGGAGAGAAGAGACUUAAAGCACUGGCUCGGUUUCUCAGUUCUUCAAAAUUUUUAAAGAGCACAAACAUUUUCGGGAUUUGAAUACAUGAUAAUUAAAAAAAAAAAAAACCUGCUAGUAGUGUGUGAGUGAGCAAAUGAAAAGUCCCCCCCAAGGACUUCCUCUGCAGACUUCUUCUGGGAUCACUAUAUGCCAUGGGGCCCAGGCUCUUGGGAGGCCAGACGGCCACACAGGAAAGCAGGAAGAAGCUUGAUGGGAGCACAGGAUGGCACUGCUGCAGAAGGUCACAGUGCUCUUGAAUUGAGAGACAGUUCUUCUCAUGUGACUCCAUGUCUUCCAGCCCAGUUCACAAUGCUAAUGAGACUCUAGUUGAAACAUGCUACUAAGAUGGGUAGACAAAAUGCCUAAUAAUUUUUAUUUAGGAGAAAUAGAAACUUCCCAUCACCCAGGGGUAUUAAAUAAAAAUAAAUUAUUUUAGAAAUCAAACCAUUAUUUUGUAUAAAACAAUUUAUUAUUUUAGAAAUCAAAUAAUCUAUUAGCUUAAAAGUAUUUUCCAUCCACCAGUCUGCCUUCCUUACUUUCUUCUGAGACCUCUUAAAAUAUCUCCUCGAUGCUUUAGAAAAUAGUGAUUGUCAGCAGUUUGUUAUUAUUUGCUAAAGGUUAAUCUCAGGCUUGUUAUUACAAAGCAGCAGCAGGAGACAGAUUUUACCCUGACCUUAUGAAAAAAUGGGUGCUUGAUUUCUGCAGAGUUGACCAGGGUGACCAUCUUCAUUACCAAUCUGGUGACAAUGGCUGAAUUCCAAUAUAUGUUGGAUGCUGUACGAGUUUAAAAUAGGGCUGGAUAUGUAGUUGUAAUUUAUGCAUAAACUUAUCAUCCUCUUCCUAUUUAUAUAGGUGAAUUAUUCCAUAUAAGUUUGGGUGCCAUUUUAUUCUUAGAUUGCUGUUAUUUUUCUUAUUAAUCCGAUUCCUUUGUUUUUAUCUUUAUUCUGUAAUAUGAAACUAUAAGUGUCUUUGCUUACCAACUCAUAUACUUCUGAUACUUACAAAUGUGUAUGGAUUAUGGACGCAUUAAGUUUUAAAUAAUAAUUUCUCAACUUGUGGCUCAUGAGAGUUUUUGAUGUAUCUUAUCUCGUAGCAUGUAGUAUCGUCCUUCCUACAACAUACUGAGGGAAAAGUGUCUUUUUAGAGGCUCUAGAGUUGGAUGUGAAGGGAACUAAGAUUAGGAAUUGAGUUUUCUGAUUCUUGGCUCUUUUCUGUUAACAGAAACAUACAGAUUUAACUCAUAAUGAAACAUCUUCUAGUUUAAAAAUAAUGGGGACAUUUUGGUACUUUAUUAAAAUGUAGAACAGAAGUUGAAACACAGGAGAAGCACCAGAAAGGAAUACUUUUAAAAAUAUUUUCCUAGUAGUUUUAAACUAAUAUAUUUUUAUCAGAAUUUAAAACAUUCAGUGGCAUGUUUUCUUUUGAUGUUCUUUAUUUUUUAAUUUUCUUUGAAGAUGAGUUACUUUUAUCUGUUGGCUAAACUGCAUUGACAUACUUAUCUUCAUACUUCAUCCUAAAGUCAAUACUUGGAACGUUGAUUUAAAUAAAGUACAUAUGUAUAUCAAACUCUUUGUUAUUAAACACAUUAGGAAUGGGUCCCAUUACUACUUUGAAUGAUACAAAGAUGAAUUUCAGUUCACUGAUCAAAUUCAAAUGUGCGCGUAUACUUUUAUAUACAUUCAUCUCUAAAUGCUGAGGUCAGUAUUUCUAUAAAUUCCUCAGCUUGGCUCAUUUUGUACUAUUGAAAUUGUUUUUUGGGACUGGGAUGUACAGGAGAUCAAAGAUUAAAUUGUGAUUUUUUUCCAAAGUGACAAUGAGUCUAAUUCACUGUCAGUUAAUGCCAGGUGUUUUUUCCCCUCAUAUUAAGUUCUUCAAAACAGUGGCUGCACAGGGCACCAUUCACAGAAGCUCAGUGCUGAGGAGAAAAUGAUUACAUUAAAUCGAAUGAUAUGAAUAAUUCAUGACAUCACAUUUUGUAAUCCUGGUGUUAAGCAUAAAACCAGUGGUUUAUUUUUCAGCAAAAUGUUUUUGUAUCAUUUUAGAUAGAGCAUAAUGCAAAACAAUAACUGCAUACAUAAUGCAAGAAGGAUGGUGGUGAAUAGGGUCCUUAAUAGUGCUUGUAGCAUCAUCUGGGGUGUGAUCACAAUAAACACAUUUUGAGCCAAUGCCCAUGGGUGCUCAAUGUUUGCUGGAAUCUUCUAAGGCCAAUAGAAUGCCUGCCUUUUAAUUUGUUUUUGAAUAUUACACCUGACCUUUACCACAGAUUUGAAAGUCAGUUCUUGUAUACUGCUAAAACUACAAAUCCUUUUGUUCCCUUUUCUUUCAGUUUACUUCGAGGGGAGGGCAAUUCUACUGGGGAAAAUAGCUGAUUUUUUAAAAAAUGAAGUUUGAUUUUUCCAACAGAAAGUUAGAAAUCCUAAGGAAAUUCAGAGUCUUGACUUACAUUUUUCUACAAAGAAUUAAGUCUUUUGGGAGAAAAUGUCAGUAUUCUAGCAACUCAUCCAAGUACUUAAUAGGAAUAUAAUUUAUAUCUGUGACUAAAGAAAUGGUUCCUUUGAUGACUCUUCUUUUUCCUAGAGAAAACAUCUUUUCUUUAUAAUAAUCAAAAAGACUAAGGAUGCUUUUACAACUUUCAUGAAACAAUUUCCAGGUCAUAUAUACUGCAGCAAUACCUUAGCACAAGCCUGAAUUUUCUGCUGCAUUUCAGGCUGAAAUAAUUGUGUACCUGAACCAUCUGCGGCUGGCCUUUCUAGCACCUUCCUGUGGACAGCUCCAGGGCACUCUCUGGAAGCCAGACCAUACUCCUACUGAUUCGCCCAUAUAUUUAUCUUGAACGAAAGAAUGGGAUAUGCCAGUGGAUUUCAGUGCUUUUCACUAACCAUCCACACUGGAAGUCUCAAGAGUUUAUUUCAAGCAUUUGUAUUACUUAAAACUAAUUAAAUAUACUAUUUAUGUUUUACAACAUGAACACAUCUGCUCAUAAUGUUGUAACCUGUAUUAUUGCUAUUUAUUUGAAACAGUACAUUAAUAAUUAAUGUUUGGUAAGUAACUUUAAAAUUCAAUUCUAUUUACAAUAUAUAUUAAUCAUA